rnacentral:rRNA from 1 species
GAGACUCUGUGCGCGUGCAUAUCAAUAAGCGGAGGAAAAGAAACUAACUAGGAUUCCCUUAGUAACGGCGAGUGAAGCGGGAAGAGCUCAAAUUUGAAAUCUUCAAGGUUCUACCUUGACGAAUUGUAGUUUAUAAGUAAGUGUUUUCUGUUAGUGGAGUGGCUAAAAGUUCUUUGGAAUAGGACAUCAUAGAGGGUGAGAAUCCCGUAUUUGGUCAUUCCUCCUAGCGUUGUGAUACACUUUCAACGAGUCGGAUUGUUUGGGAAUGCAGUCCAAGAUGGGUGGUAAAUUUCAUCUAAAGCUAAAUAUUGGCGAGAGACCGAUAGCGAACAAGUACCGUGAGGGAAAGAUGAAAAGAACUUUGAAAAGAGAGUUAAACAGUACGUGAAAUUGUCAAAAGGGAAGCGUUUGACACCAGUGUUGUUUUUCCGAAAAUCAAUUACUAAAUGUUUUGUUUUGAGGAGUGAUGACUUCAUCGGCUUGCUCCUUUCUUUAUGAAACUUUCUUAAUGCACUUUUCGGUUAACAAGUCAACAUCAAUUUCUUUUGUUGUAAAAGGGUAUGAGGAAGGUGGCUUUCUUUUCGGAGAAAGUGUUUAUAGCCCUUAUGCCUCUACAAUCGGAGAGAUUGAGGUCUGCAGCGUAGAUCCUUCGGGGUUAGAUACAUUUGUGCUAAGUUAUAGCUUUUCAGUAGACAACUUGUUGACUAUGUUUAGUCUUGUAGCUUACUCGCUUAUGCUAUUUUACCUACGCUUAGGAUGUUGACAGCAGUAUAGACUGU